UACAGAGUAAUGACGGAGAAGAACGGCUAGCUGUGGUCAGACUGCUGGCCAAGCUGUUUGGAGCCAAAGACUCAGAACUGGCCACUCAGAACAGACCGCUGUGGCAAUGCUUCCUGGGACGGUUCAAUGACAUCCAUGUCCCAGUGAGGCUCGAGUCGGUCAAGUUCGCUUCCCACUGUCUGAUGAACCAUCCAGACCUGGCCAGAGACCUCACAGAGUUCCUGAAAGUGCGAUCACAUGACCCAGAGGAGGCGAUCCGACACGACGUCAUCGUAACGAUCAUCAACGCGGGGAAGAAAGACCUGAACCUGGUUAACGACCAACUGCUGGGCUUCGUUAGGGAGAGGACCCUGGACAAGAGGGUGCGA